CGGUAAUACGUAGGGUGCGAGCGUUAAUCGGAAUUACUGGGCGUAAAGCGUGCGCAGGCGGAUUGUUAAGCAAGAUGUGAAAUCCCCGGGCUUAACCUGGGAAUGGCAUUUUGAACUGGCAGUCUAGAGUGUGUCAGAGGGGGGUGGAAUUCCACGUGUAGCAGUGAAAUGCGUAGAUAUGUGGAGGAACACCAAUGGCGAAGGCAGCCCCCUGGGAUAACACUGACGCUCAUGUACGAAAGCGUGGGCAGCAAACAGGAUUAGAUACCCUGGUAGUCCACGCCCUAAACGAUGUCAACUGGUUGUUGGGGGAGUGAAAUCCCUUAGUAACGAAGCUAACGCGUGAAGUUGACCGCCUGGGGAGUACGGUCGCAAGAUUAAA
rnacentral:rRNA from 1 species